rnacentral:rRNA from 1 species
UACGAAGGGGGCUAGCGUUGCUCGGAAUCACUGGGCGUAAAGGGUGCGUAGGCGGGUCUUUUAAGUCAGGGGUGAAAUCCUGGAGCUCAACCUCCAGAACUGUCCUUGAUACUGAGGAUCUUGAGUUCGGGAGAGGUGAGUGGAACUGCGAGUGUAGAGGUGAAAUUCGUAGAUAUUCGCAAGAACACCAGUGGCGAAGGCGGCUCACUGGCCCGGUACUGACGCUGAGGUGCGAAAGCGUGGGGAGCAACAGGGAUUAAGA